rnacentral:rRNA from 1 species
UACGUAGGGUCCAAGCGUUGUCCGGAUUUAUUGGGCGUAAAGAGCGUGUAGGCGGCCAGGUAGGUCUGCUGUGAAAACUCGAGGCUCAACCUCGAGAUGUCGGCGGAAACCAUCUGGCUAGAGUCCGGAAGAGGAGAAUGGAAUUCCCGGUGUAGCGGUGAAAUGCGCAGAUAUCGGGAAGAACACCCGUGGCGAAGGCGGUUCUCUGGGACGGUACUGACGCUGAGACGCGAAAGCGUGGGGAGCGAACAGG